rnacentral:rRNA from 1 species
UACAGAGACUGCAAGCGUUAUUCGGAUUCACUGGGCGUAAAGGGUGCGCAGGCGGCCAAGUGCGUCAGGUGUGAAAUCCCGAGGCUUAACCUCGGAACUGCGCCUGAAACUACUUGGCUAGAGUACUGGAGAGGGUAACGGAAUUCACGGUGUAGCAGUGAAAUGCGUAGAUAUCGUGAGGAACACCAGAGGCGAAGGCGGUUACCUGGACAGUUACUGACGCUCAGGCACGAAAGCGUGGGGAGCAAAAGGG